rnacentral:lncRNA from 1 species
GGCAGAUUACUUCUGUGAGCAACUGGGUCUCUCAGUUCUUUGGGAGCACCCUGGGAAACAGUGUGGCUAUGACUUGGAGCUGCUCACCAGUUCCAGUCAUUCUGUGGUUGAGAGCUGCUCCCUAUGGAUGUUAAUUCUUCUCUAUUUUAGAUUUUCCACAGGUGUGGGCCCCAUUAGCUCUGGCCACCUGAGAAAGCCCUCAGGCAAAGAGUCGCAGGUGAAAGCCAGCAGUUAGAGGUUCACAGAAAUGAGUGCAGAAGCAUCUUCAGUUGGAGAGCCAUUGCCUCUUGCUGUGAAAUAUUUGGGAAUCUUCAGAAACCAUGAAGAAUAACCUGCUAAAGCUGAGCUGGGACUCUGCCUGGAUAUAACUUAUGGCCUAUUCUAUAUGGAAAGUUGGUUUUCUCACAGUUCCACUCCCUUUCCAGAUAUCAGCAAAUGGCCCUCCUAGCCCAGAAGUCUCCAGAGAGGCCACCAAGUUCUAUUGAACAUCAUGAAUCCUAUGCUCAAGUGAGAUCAGCUCAAGUGAGACCAGAUAUCUGAAGACCUUUUCAUUUUCGCCACCCUCAAAUGAAGGCAUGCAAGGCUCAUAGGCAGAAGGGACUUGUCUUGUCUCAGAUGAGACUUUGGACUUGGACUUUUGAGUUAAUGCUGAAAUGAAUGAAAACUUUGGGGGACUGUUGGGAAGGCAUGAUUGUGUUUUGAAAUAUGAAAAGGACAUUAGAUUUGGGAAGGACCAGGGGAGUAACGAUAUGGCUUGGGUCUGUGUCCCCACCAAAAACUCAUGUUGAAUUAUAAUUCUUAGUGUUGGGAAAGGGACCUGGUGGAAGGUGAUUGUAUCAUGUGGGCAGAUUUCCCCCUUGUUCUCAUGACAGUAAAUGACUUCUCACAGGAUCUGUUGAUUUAAAAGUGUGUGGCACUUCUCCCUUCACCCUCUGUCUCUCCUGCUGCCAUGUAGAGAAGGUGCUGGCUUCCCCUUCACCUUAUGCCAUGAUUGCAACUUUCCUGAGGCCUUCUAUUAAUGCUUCUUGUUAAGAUUGAAGAACUGUGAGUCACUUAAACCUCUUUUCUUCAUAAAGUCCCCAGUCUCAAGUAGUUAUAGCAGCAUGAGAACAGAUUAAUACAGCUACUGUUAAGAUUGACAGAAUUAAAUGAAAUGAAGUCUGUAGAAAGCACAUAGCAAGUUGCACAAAUAUGUGGCUAUAUUAGAAAUCACUAAAUUUUAUGCAUUAUACUUACAUUUUUAAAAUUUAAAAGUGUGAAUUUUAUGCUAUAGGAAUGUCAGUGAGAAAUAAAUUCUAUAACAAAUUGCC